UGGGUUUGUGCUUGGGAUGGUUUGGGUAUGUAAAGAAACAGGAUGUGGGGUUGUGCUUGUGAGGGUUUGAGUAUGUAAAGGAACAGAGAGUUUGUGCUUGUG